UAGGGAAUCUUCGGCAAUGGACGAAAGUCUGACCGAGCAACGCCGCGUGAGUGAAGAAGGUUUUCGGAUCGUAAAACUCUGUUGUUAGAGAAGAACAAGGACGUUAGUAACUGAACGUCCCCUGACGGUAUCUAACCAGAAAGCCACGGCUAACUACGUGCCAGCAGCCGCGGUAAUACGUAGGUGGCAAGCGUUGUCCGGAUUUAUUGGGCGUAAAGCGAGCGCAGGCGGUUUCUUAAGUCUGAUGUGAAAGCCCCCGGCUCAACCGGGGAGGGUCAUUGGAAACUGGGAGACUUGAGUGCAGAAGAGGAGAGUGGAAUUCCAUGUGUAGCGGUGAAAUGCGUAGAUAUAUGGAGGAACACCAGUGGCGAAGGCGGCUCUCUGGUCUGUAAAUGACGCUGAGGCUCGAAAGCGUGGGGAGCAAACAGA
rnacentral:rRNA from 1 species